AUCGCUUUUCGGCCUUUUGGCUAAGAUCAAGUGUAGUAUCUGUUCUUAUCAGUUUAAUAUCUGAUACGUCCCCCAGCGGGGGACUACAUAUUAAGCGGAUUUUUAGAACAGGGAGUCGGCAAAGGAGCUUGCUACAUCCGCUCCACGCAUCGACCCAGUAUUGCAGUGCCUCGGGGAGCAGUGCACUUUCU
ensembl:snRNA U2 U2 spliceosomal RNA